UUUGAGGAUGUGACAUUUAAAAUGAGACCUAAAAGACCAGAUGGAGUAAUGGGAAGUCUCAACAGAGGAAGCAGACAUGUGAAGGCAGAGGCCCAGAAAGAAUGUAGUUUAUUCAAGAACUGAGAGCAACUUAGAGUGGCCAGAAAACAGAAACUAUGUCAGCUGUGCUUGAUAAAAAAGAGCAACGCUUUCCUGUGGCUACCUGUUCAAAGCGAAUACAUUCCACUGUGGCUGGGACCACACUGGACUUGUGCCAUCCAGCUGGACUUGGCACAGUGCCUGGCAUAUGAUCUCAAGACUCCUCCCAUCUGAACCAGCCUUCCUCCCUUCUUUCUACGUGGCUUUGACUUGUUGAGAAGUCUGAGCCAGUUGCCUUGAGGAAUGUCCCAACUUCUGGAUUUGUGUGAUUGCUUCCUCACGAUACCACUUACUGUUGUUAAUUCCUUCCAUUAACCUAAGUCCUCUGUGUUUCCUGUAAACUGGAAUGUAGACAUAGAAGGCUUGAUUUAAUAGCAGACUAAACAUUUUGCAGGAAUAGUUCAGAGAUAAAGAUCUGUACUUCAUAUUGCAUCAUAUAGGAGGUACAUAAUGUAUGUCUAGUGUCUCACCACUGGUAACACUGAAAUUGGUCACUGGGUUUGAGGGGUGACCUCCAGAUUUCAUCAUUAUAAAGUUCUGUGUUCCCCUUAUAACUGGCAAGCCAUCUGUGAAGUAAUCCUUUGGGACCAUGCAAGGAUAUAAUGGACUUUUUUUCCCAUUUGGUGGAAGGAGACCUGCAGGCUGCGUCUAUGCUGUGCACGGUGAUCCCAGGCUUCAACAUGCUGUGCUUCACCUCUCGGUCUGGGCAGCAGUACUUCACUGGCCGUGAAACCACCCACAUGCGUUCAGCAAAUGGUCACCUGGGCCUGACUGGCUGUGAGACAGACAGCAGGGACAGGCAACGGGUGUAGGGAAGUUAACAAUAGCUUGCCCUUGAGCAGCACUGAAGGUAGACUCAAGACACAAUGCUAGGGAAACCACACAGAAGGUUCCUAUGCUCUGAUCAAAGUUAAAAAAAGAUACAAUUCAGAAAAGAACUGAAAGAAAAUACAACUCCUAAUGAUAUUUGGCAUGGGGAAGUGGAAUUCAGAAUUUUUUAGCUUUUUGUAAUUUCACCUUACUUUUACAGUAAAAAUAAGAAAUGUGUGAAUAAAUCAGAAUGUGAUAGGUAAGAUGUUCUGAGAAGAAAAAUCAUGAAUAAAAAUGUGAACAGAGAACAUGAUAAAAUGAAAUAAAUUGUAAUUUUUUAACUCACUUUACUUUUUAUGUCAAAGUUUAUAAGGCAAAUUUGAGACAUAGUGACAUCCUACUUAUAAGUACAUAAGCACACAUUGUGAAAUAGUAAGAAUGUUUUCCAUUACAGCUAAAUUAAGAUUGUCUUCAUGAGCAAAGUUAAUAUUAAAUCCUUAACAUCACUGAACAUGCUGUCAAUUUUCAGAUUUUUCUUCCAAUUAUCCCAAAAAAAUGUCUUUUAUAGCUGGUUUCCAAACCAGGAUCUAAAAACUGAGAAACACGUUUUUAAAUGACCAUACAAAAAUUUUUUAAAUAGUAUAUCACUGAGAUACAGACUUUUCCUUUUAGUUUACUUUACCCAUUAAUUUAAAAAAGGAAUAUUUUAUUGCUACCAUUUCAGUAAAUGGAUGCCACAUGCAUCUGGUUAAGGUAUUUACAAGUUCUUUCAGUUCCAAAAUUUACCAUCACUGAUAACAUUUAUAUCCUAAUGAUUUGCAAGUCCUUACUAGCAAUGAAGAAAUCUUAAAAUCAGUAUGAAACUAAAAUAUGCCGGUUUAUAUGUUGGGCUUCAGAAGUAAAUCGUGCCCAUUGAUGCAGAUGUGCUGUACCAUCUCAGCAGGAGGAAGCCAGCCUUGGCCAGGUUCAGGCUAAGACACGGGGAGUAGGGAAGCAAUACAUUUGUAUGUCAGUCAAGAAAAUGUGGAUCUUAAGGCUUACAGAAUCCCCUUUCUCUUUAAAAUGGCACUUUAAACUUUCCCUGUCUUUGCUCAAGAUCUUUUCAUUUCCUAAAAGAACAAAGAGCAUUCAUUUUUCAAACACUCUCUGCCCAAGUGGGGAAAUUAGCAAGACAAAGAUGAUAUAUUCAAGAUAUGAAAUCAUAGUAUCUUUCAUCCCUCUGUACUUUGGAGUACUUGAGCUGUUUUGAAAUGAUAAACUGUUCCUUUGUUUUUCUAUUAAAUGCUUGUGAUGAAUAGGGAAAAAAAACGUCUACAUUUCAAAUUAGACUUUUCAUUAAGUACUAAGACCUGUUUUGUUCAAAAGAAGUAAUGAAAUGUGUUUGGGAUUUUUUUUCUGUUUUUUGGUCUGAAUGUUGGU